UGCCAGCAGCCGCGGUAAUACGGGGGGGGCGAGCGUUGUUCGGAUUUACUGGGCGUAAAGGGCUUGUAGGCGGCGAUCUAUGUCGGUUGUGAAAUCCCCAGGCUCAACCUGGGAACUGCAGCCGAAACUGGGUCACUAGAAGCCGGGAGAGGGAUGCGGAAUUCCAGGUGUAGCGGUGAAAUGCGUAGAUAUCUGGAGGAACACCCGUGGCGAAGGCGGCAUCCUGGACCGGUCUUGACGCUGAGGAGCGAAAGCUAGGGUAGCAAACGGGAUUAGAUA
rnacentral:rRNA from 1 species